rnacentral:rRNA from 1 species
AUACGGAGGAGGCUAACGUUGCUCGGAAUUACUGGGCGUAAAGGGCGUGUAGGCGGGACAUCAAGUUAGGCGUGAAAGCCCCGGGCUCAACCCGGGAACUGCGCUUGAUACUGGUGACCUAGAGUCCGGGAGAGGGUGGUGGAAUUCCCAGUGUAGAGGUGAAAUUCGUAGAUAUUGGGAAGAACACCAGUGGCGAAGGCGGCCACCUGGACCGGUACUGACGCUAAGGCGCGAAAGCGUGGGGAGCAAACAGGAUUAGAUACCCUGGUAGUCC